UUUCCGUAGGUGAACCUGCGGAAGGAUCAUUAUUGAAUGAAACACUUCUGGCUUUAUGCUGUUGUGCUGGCCUUUUGGGCAAUGUGCACACGGCUCUGGUCACUUGUUUCUUCUGUUCCACCUGUGCACUGCCUGUAGACACGCUGUGUCUAUGAUAUUUGUUAACACACAACAAUGUUAGUUGGCAUGUUAUAUAUAAUAAUAAAAUAUACAACUUUCAACAACGGAUCUCUUGGCUCUC
rnacentral:misc_RNA from 1 species